rnacentral:rRNA from 1 species
GUGCCAGCAGCCGCGGUAAUACGGAGGGUGCAAGCGUUAAUCGGAAUUACUGGGCGUAAAGCGCACGCAGGCGGUCUGUCAAGUCGGAUGUGAAAUCCCCGGGCUCAACCUGGGAACUGCAUUCGAAACUGGCAGGCUAGAGUCUUGUAGAGGGGGGUAGAAUUCCAGGUGUAGCGGUGAAAUGCGUAGAGAUCUGGAGGAAUACCGGUGGCGAAAGCGGCCCCCCUGGACAAAGACUGACGCUCAAGUGCGAAAGCGUGGGGAAGCAACAGGAUUAGAUACCCCUGGUAGCCA